GCCCUCUCAGGGUCGCACCUGGAGAGUUUCCAGUACUCUACCAGUAUCGGCUGCGGGUGGGAGAGUCGAGCAGAGGAAUGUCCAUUCCAUUCUUAGCUUGACCAGUGGCUAGCGAGUGGAAGGAAAUCUGCUACAAGG